GGGCCUGUCGUAUAAUGGUUAUUAUUCUCGGCUGGCAGUCGAGAGACCCGGGUUCGACUCCCGGCAGGUCCA
rnacentral:tRNA from 1 species